UACGUAGGGGGCCAGCGUUGCUCGGAAUUACUGGGCGUAAAGGGUCCGUAGGCGGUGUAGCAAGUCGAUCGUGAAAUCUCUGGGCUUAACCCAGAGGCUGCUAACGAAACUGCUGUGCUAGAGUGUGAGAGAGGCGAGUGGAAUUACGGGUGUAGCGGUGAAAUGCGUAGAUAUCCGUAGGAACAUCCGAGGCGAAGGCGGCUCGCUGGAUCACAACUGACGCUGAGGGACGAAAGCUAGGGGAGCAAACAGG
rnacentral:rRNA from 1 species